GACGAACGCUGGCGGCGUGCUUAACACAUGCAAGUCGAGGGUAGCAAUACACUGGCGCAAGGGUGCGUAACGCGUAGAUUAUCUGCCCCAUACACUAACAUAACGCUUGGAAACGGGUGCUAAUAUUAGAUGAGGUGCUUGGCAUCAAAGUUUCGACGGUAUGGGAUGAGUCUGCGUCUGAUUAGCUAGUUGGUAGUGUAAUGGACUACCAAGGCGACGAUCAGUAGCUGGUCUGAGAGGACGAUCAGCCACACUGGAACUGAGACACGGUCCAGACUCCUACGGGAGGCAGCAGUGAGGAAUUUUGCGCAAUGACGAAAGUCUAGACGCAGCGACGCCGACGU
rnacentral:rRNA from 1 species